UUUUCCCAUUGUUUUAGUUUAGUUUAUCACUUUGUGCAGCAGAAAUUUUAGUCCAAGGCACAGAAGAUAUGGAAAAGAAGUUAUUGUGGUUCAGAAGAGAUUCAUGUAUGUAUGGGAGACAGUUCCUAGAUGGCAUUCCUUCAGGCGCAGCCGGAUUAACCAACGUUGCAAAGAGCGCGAUUCCCUGCACGAAGCCCCUCGCAGUCUCCGUUUAAUUUACUUUGUCACGGUAACAGACCUGCGCUCUUCCUCACAUCUGUUACGUUUCGACUUUACUGUUUUACAGAUACUAACCAAUCUUCAAAACAGUUUGGAAACUGAGGCUGAAGUUUCAAGUCUGUGUCAGAGCCUGGAUUAAGUCUGAAGAGUUAAUGAGAACCUUUAGACCAGAGGAAUUAAGAAAGUGCUUUAGUGUCUUUGCUCUGUAGGAAUGGAUUUAGUUGAAGUAAAGCCUGGGUGGAGAUGUCUGUCCACCCUCCGGGAAGCUUGAGGACCUCUUCCCUCAUCUACCCCUCUAUCCACUCGAAAAGACAUACUAGUUUCUGAAAAGAUUUGAAUUCUCCCUCAGUAGCCUACUGACCGCUUGAGCCCAGAGAGUACAACACAUGUGUGAAAUGCAAUUGCAAAGAGAAAAGUGAACAGAAAAGCCUAUUUAGCCAAGUAGGUGUGAAUAAACUCAGCCAACUCUCAGUGCCAAGAAAACGAAGCACUUUUUUCCCCCCAUCACAGCAAUUGAUGUCAGUAAUCGACUUGCUGGGUGCUGCGAACG